rnacentral:rRNA from 1 species
CCUACGGGUGGCAGCAGUGGGGAAUAUUGGACAAUGGGGGGAACCCUGAUCCAGCCAUGCCGCGUGUGUGAAGAAGGCCCUCGGGUUGUAAAGCACUUUCAGUGAGGAAGAACGCCUGGUGGUUAAUACCCAUCAGGAAAGACAUCACUCACAGAAGAAGCACCGGCUAACUCCGUGCCAGCAGCCGCGGUAAUACGGAGGGUGCGAGCGUUAAUCGGAAUUACUGGGCGUAAAGCGCGCGUAGGUGGCUUGAUAAGCCGGUUGUGAAAGCCCCGGGCUCAACCUGGGAACGGCAUCCGGAACUGUCAAGCUAGAGUGCAGGAGAGGAAGGUAGAAUUCCCGGUGUAGCGGUGAAAUGCAUAGAGAUCGGGAGGAAUACCAGUGGCGAAGGCGGCCUUCUGGACUGACACUGACACUGAGGUGCGAAAGCGUGGGUAGCAAACAGGAUUAGAUACCCCUGUAGUC